rnacentral:rRNA from 1 species
AGUGAACGCUGGCGGUAGGCCUAACACAUGCAAGUCGAACGGCAGCACAGGAGAGCUUGCUCUCUAGGUGGCGAGUGGCGGACGGGUGAGGAAUACAUCGGAAUCUGCCCAGUCGUGGGGGAUAACGUAGGGAAACUUACGCUAAUACCGCAUACGACCUUCGGGUGAAAGAGGGGGAUCGCAAGACCUCUCGCGAUUGGAUGAGCCGAUGUCGGAUUAGCUAGUUAGCGGGGUAAUGGCCCACCAAGGCGACGAUCCGUAGCUGGUCUGAGAGGAUGAUCAGCCACACUGGAACUGAGACACGGUCCGGACUCCUACGGGAGGCAGCAGUGGGGAAUAUUGGACAAUGGGCGCAAGCCUGAUCCAGCCAUACCGCGUGGGUGAAGAAGGCCUUCGGGUUGUAAAGCCCUUUUGUUGGGAAAGAAAUCUUUCAGGCUAAUACCCUGGGAGGAUGACGGUACCCAAAGAAUAAGCACCGGCUAACUUCGUG